UACGUAGGGGGCUAGCGUUGUCCGGAAUCAUUGGGCGUAAAGAGCGUGUAGGCGGCCCGGUAAGUCCGCUGUAAAAGUCAAAGGCUCAACCUUUGAAUGUCAGUGGAUACUGCCGGGCUAGAGUCCGGAAGAGGCGAGUGGAACUCCUGGUGUAGCGGUGGAAUGCGCAGAUAUCAGGAAGAACACCGACGGCGAAGGCAGCUCGCUGGGACGGUACUGACGCUGGAGACGCGAAAGCGUGGGGAGCGAACAGG
rnacentral:rRNA from 1 species